GACGAACGCUGGCGGCGUGCUUAACACAUGCAAGUCGAACGGAAAGGCCCUGCUUUUGUGGGGUGCUCGAGUGGCGAACGGGUGAGUAACACGUGAGUAACCUGCCCUUGACUUUGGGAUAACUUCAGGAAACUGGGGCUAAUACCGGAUAGGAGCUCCUGCUGCAUGGUGGGGGUUGGAAAGUUUCGGCGGUUGGGGAUGGACUCGCGGCUUAUCAGCUUGUUGGCGGGGUAGUGGCUUACCAAGGCUUUGACGGGUAGCCGGCCUGAGAGGGUGACCGGCCACAUUGGGACUGAGAAACGGCCCAGACUCCUACGGGAGGCAGCAGGGGGGAAUAUUGCACAAUGGGCGGAAGCCUGAUGCAGCAACGCCGCGUGCGGGAUGACGGCCUUCGGGUUGUAAACCGCUUUCGCCUGUGACGAAGCGGGAGUGACGGUAAUGGGUAAAGAAGCACCGGCUAACUACGUG
rnacentral:rRNA from 1 species